rnacentral:rRNA from 1 species
AUUGAACGCUGGCGGCAGGCCUAACACAUGCAAGUCGAGCGUGAAAGGGCUUCGGCCUGAGUAAAGCGGCGGACGGGUGAGUAACGCGUAGGAAUCUACCUGGUAGUGGGGGAUAACGUUCCGAAAGGAACGCUAAUACCGCAUACGUUCUGAGGAAGAAAGCAGGGGACCGCAAGGCCUUGCGCUAUCAGAUGAGCCUGCGUCCGAUUAGCUAGUUGGUAGGGUAAAGGCCUACCAAGGCGACGAUCGGUAACUGGUCUGAGAGGAUGAUCAGUCACACUGGAACUGAGACACGGUCCAGACUCCUACGGGAGGCAGCAGUGGGGAAUAUUGGACAAUGGGGGGCAACCCUGAUCCAGCCAUGCCGCGUGUGUGAAGAAGGCCUCGG